UGGGGAAUAUUGGACAAUGGACCAAGAGUCUGAUCCAGCAAUUCUGUGUGCACGAUGAAGUUUUUCGGAAUGUAAAGUGCUUUCAGUUGGGAAGAAAGAAAUGACGGUACCAACAGAAGAAGUGACGGCUAAAUACGUGCCAGCAGCCGCGGUAAUACGUAUGUCACAAGCGUUAUCCGGAUUUAUUGGGCGUAAAGCGCGUCUAGGUGGUUAUGUAAGUCUGAUGUGAAAAUGCAGGGCUCAACUCUGUAUUGCGUUGGAAACUGUAUAACUAGAGUACUGGAGAGGUAAGCGGAACUACAAGUGUAGAGGUGAAAUUCGUAGAUAUUUGUAGGAAUGCCGAUGGGGAAGCCAGCUUACUGGACAGAUACUGACGCUGAAGCGCGAAAGCGUGGGUAGCAAACAGGAUUAGAUACCCUGGUAGUCCAUGCCGUAAACGAUGAUUACUAGGUGUUGGGGGUCGAACCUCAGCGCCCAAGCAAACGCGAUAAGUAAUCCGCCUGGGGAGUACGUACGCAAGUAUGA
rnacentral:rRNA from 1 species